UACGUAGGGGGCAAGCGUUGUCCGGAAUCAUUGGGCGUAAAGAGCGUGUAGGCGGCCAGAAAAGUCCGCUGUGAAAACUCGAGGCUCAACUUCGAGCUGUCGGUGGAAACUUUCUGGCUAGAGUCCGGAAGAGGAGAAUGGAAUUCCUGGUGUAGCGGUGAAAUGCGCAGAUAUCAGGAAGAACACCCGUGGCGAAGGCGGUUCUCUGGGACGGUACUGACGCUGAGACGCGAAAGCGUGGGGAGCGAUCCGG
rnacentral:rRNA from 1 species